CCAUUUGUCUCCCCAUUUCGGUUACCUGCCAAUUCCAACCCACCAAUCGGCUCUCACCUAUCUUAUAACAGCUACCGUUCAGUGAGGGUGAAAGCUAACCCGUGCUUCCUCCAAGACGUAUGAGGCCAGAUGCAUCUUUUCCAACUGCUGCUCAUGUUGUACCAAAAGUUGUAUCAUGUUGUAACAUUUCCACAGUAAAGCACUAUCUACCCUGUUCCACUGUUUUUACAUGAGCUCACAGACUGUUCAACGUCACUGUGAUUGACAGGGGAGAUAGAGUGUAUCAUCCCGCCCUCCGUCCCUGAGACCACGGCCAAUUUUGCUCUCUUGGACUCCGGCAACGGAUGACUGUCGCAUCAUCAGGAUUCGAACUCUCUGGAAAACAGACCGCUGUUGCCCUGUGAUAUUCCAAGUCUGUUCCUCUGUAAAUCCCAGUCCACCAGCAUACAAAUAUCCUAUUGGUUCAGGAUUUGCAUCAAGUUCCAGUAUUCUCUGAAUGAAAAUUUAAUGAUGGAGAAACGAACUAUGUGUGAGCACGUGCUAUGGGCAAACAUGGAUCAGGAUCGAGUGGAAGAGAGAGGAAACCUGGGUGAAACGUCUGCGUGCAGAAUAUGUUCAGAGGCUGAUGGAGCUGGAUGCUGCUGUGAAUCAUCACAAGUAUAUUUAUGUUGACGAGGCGGGCUUUAAUCUGGUAACAUUAUUGGCCAACAGGCAACCAUCCAAGUGCCUGGACAACGUGGGGGAAACAUCUCAAUGUGUGCGGCUAUAUGUGAAGAUGGUGUGGUAGGCCGUAGACCUACGUUCUUGGAUUAUACAACACUGAACACCAGAAAGCUUUUCUAAAUGAACUUGAGUAGGCCUGUCAGUGUGAAGAAAGACAUCAGGUAUGUUAUUGUGUGGGACAAUGUCAGCUUCCAUCAUGCAGAGCUGGUUCGGGAAUGGUUUCAGGCUCAUUCUCGGUUCAUGACCUUAUAUCUCCCACGAUACUCUCCUUUCCUCAACCCAACAGAGGAAUUCUUCUCUACUUGGAGGUGGAAGGUGUAUGAUCGCCAUCCCUAUGAGCAUGUCGUCCUCCUUCAAGCCAUGGAUGAGGCUUGCAAUGACAUAACUGCAGAGAAAUGUCAAGCGUGGACUCGUCAUGCCAGAAGGUUUUUCCCAUGGUGCAUGAACAACGAGGAUCUUCAGUGUGUUGAUGAAAAUUUUUGACCAAAUGUUGAAGACAGGCUUGAUGUUAAUUAAUCUGAGAUUAUCUCCAUUUACAGUAAAUUGUUUAUGUUUUUUUGUUUCACAAUGCAACCAGAGUAUUGGUUAAAAAAAAAAAAAUACUGUAAAAUAAAAUAUUUUUCCUGCAUAAUUGACAUUUGAUGUGUAUUUUGAUCAUAUUUUACUUGUAUAAAUAAAAUAUCAAUUUUAUUAUGGCUUUUGUCAGUUUGCUUGGAUGAUGUAAGUGUAAUAUCUAUUGUGAUGACUGUGUACAGUAAAGUAACAGUCAUUCAGAACCAAGGGUGAUUUAAAAUGUGCAUCUUGCAUUGUUUUCUGGUGAAUUAACUGACUGUUAAAAGUGCUAAAUUAAAAUAAGAUCAUACGGUUGCGUUUUGGUGAUUACAAUAAAUGUUCUCAUUACAUGUUACAAUAAUCUUGUGUUUUGAAACAAUGAUUUAAUGGAAAGAAAAUAUGUAACUGAAAUCAGAUCAGGUUUGAAUCAGUCAUUAUUGCAUUAGAACGACUAACUGUGAAACAAGUGUGAUCAAUUUGGAGUCUUGUACUAAGAGUUUUGAAAAAUUACCCCUUACUUGUGAAAAUAGUUCGAAAG
ensembl:lncRNA